rnacentral:lncRNA from 1 species
CUGGCAAGUCGAAGUCGACAAGAGAGACCGAGAAAAGACUGCCUUCAUAACACCGGUCGGCCUGUUCGAGUUCACGGUCAUGCCCUUCGGUUUUUGCUCGGCACCGGCGACUUUCCAACGAGUCAUGGAUAAAGUAUUAGCUGGCUUGAAGUGGUAAACUUGCCUUGUUUACUUGGACGACGUCGUUGUGUUUUCCUCGAACUUCGACGAACACCUCC